rnacentral:rRNA from 1 species
AUUGAACGCUGGCGGCAUGCUUUACACAUGCAAGUCGAACGGUAACAGGGAGCUUGCUCCGCUGACGAGUGGCGAACGGGUGAGUAAUAUAUCGGAACGUGCCCAAGAGUGGGGGAUAACGUAGCGAAAGUUACGCUAAUACCGCAUACGAUCCAAGGAUGAAAGCAGGGGACCUUCGGGCCUUGUGCUCCUGGAGCGGCCGAUAUCUGAUUAGCUAGUUGGUGAGGUAAAGGCUCACCAAGGCGACGAUCAGUAGCUGGUCUGAGAGGACGACCAGCCACACUGGAGCUGAGACACGGUCCAGACUCCUACGGGAGGCAGCAGUGGGGAAUGUUGGACAAUGGGGGCAACCCUGAUCCAGCAAUGCCGCGUGAGUGAAGAAGGCCUUCGGGUUGUAAAGCUCUUUUGUCAGGGAAGAAAAGGGUACGGCUAAUAUCCGUGCCUCAUGACGGUACCUGAAGAAUAAGCACCGGCUAACUACGUGCCAGCCGCCGCGGUAA